UACGGGGGGAGCAAGCGUUGUUCGGAUUUACUGGGCGUAAAGGGCGCGUAGGCGGCCAGCACAAGUCAGUUGUGAAAUCUCCGAGCUUAACUCGGAAAGGUCAACUGAUACUGUGCGGCUAGAGUGCGGAAGGAGCAACUGGAAUUCUUGGUGUAGCGGUGAAAUGCGUAGAUAUCAAGAGGAACACCUGCGGCGAAGGCGGGUUGCUGGGCCGACACUGACGCUGAGGCGCGAAAGCCAGGGGAGCGAACGGG
rnacentral:rRNA from 1 species